rnacentral:rRNA from 1 species
UACAGAGGUCUCAAGCGUUGUUCGGAUUCAUUGGGCGUAAAGGGUGCGUAGGCGGCGCGGUAAGUCGGGUGUGAAAUCUCGGAGCUUAACUCCGAAACUGCAUUCGAUACUGCCGUGCUUGAGGACUGGAGAGGAGACUGGAAUCCCGGUGUAGCUGGUGAAAUGCGCAGAUAUCGGGAAGAACACCCGUGGCGAAGGCGGUUCUGCUGGGACGGUACUGACGCUGAGACGCGAAAGCGUGGGGAGCGAACAGG